rnacentral:lncRNA from 1 species
GAGCUCGUGUGUCCUACGGGGCUGGAUUCUGGUAGCUCCAGGAGAUCAUUGUGGCUGCCAGGGCCAGCCAAUGGUGUGUCCUCCUGGGGGGUGGCUGGAAUCCCAGUUGCAGGACACAGAAAGUAUUAUGAGGGAGGCCAAGGACUCCGGGCUCCAGGCAGAGAAGCGGCGCUGGGACUAGGGAUUGCCACUUCUGAGAGGAUGCUGGGAAUCUGCAGGGGGAGACGGAAAUUCCUGGCUGCCUCGUUGACCCUGCUCUGCAUCCCAGCCAUCACCUGGCUUUACCUGUUUGCCGGGAGCUUGGAAGGAAUGCUGGCUGUCUCAGAAUCCUAGGAAGAACCUCCGGGUCUUCUAAUCCUGACUUCUCAUUUUGUAGAAAAAUGGAAUCCUGUUGCUCAGUCACAGGAAAAGAUUUGUCUAGGUUUAUAAAGGUAUUUGGAGGGAGUGUGUAAUGAGGAGAGAAAAAGAAAUAACAGGAGCGCCUGUGGCUCAGCGGGUUAAGAACCUGAGUAGUAUCCGUGAGAAUGCAGGUUCCAUCCCUGGCCCUGCUCAGUGAGUUAAGAAUCCAGUGUUGCAGUGGGCUGUGGUGUAGGUCGCAGACUCGGCUCGGAUCCCAGGUUGCUGUGGCUGUGGUGAAGUCCAGCAGCUGCAGCUCCAGUUUGAUCCCUAGCCUGGGAACUUCCAUAUGUCUCAGGUGCAGCCCUAAAAAGAAAAAAAAGAAAAGAGAAAAGAUAAAUACAAAAGCAAAAAGGAAACUUUGCAGGCUGAUGGCCCUGUCUGAAGUAUUUGAUGCAUAUUUCCUGAGGUUUUUUUUUUCCCCCUACAAACGUGAACCCCUGUCCCGCCCCCACCAAGGAAGAUGUUUACUACUAGGUAGCCAUUCACACACAACCCUGAGUCCUCCUGAAACCUGAGGAUGGCUAAUGUUAACCCCGUGACCCCACCCUGUUACCUCACCAUCACCCAGAGAAUUGGGUACCAUCUGAUCACAUACCCUGGGACCCCUGCUCCUUAUCUGGCUUUUAAAUAUGUUUUGCCGGGAGUUCACAGUGUGGCUCAGCAGUAAGAAAUCCAGCUAAUAUCCAUUGGGUUCAAUCCCUGGCUUCGCUCAGUGGGUGAAGCAUCUGGUGUUGCCAUGAGCUGUGGUGUAGGCCGGCAGCUGCAGCUCCAAUUUGACCCCUAGCCUGGGAACAUCCAUAUGCUGCGUGUGUGGCCCUAAAAAUCAAAGUUCUUGCUGUGGCACCGUGGGUUAAAAAUCUGGCAUUGCUGCAACUGCGGCAUAGGGCAUAGGUCACAGCUGUGGUGCAGAUUCAGUCCUGGCUUGGGAACGUCCAUAUGCCAAGGCCAAAAAUAAAAAAUAAAAAGGUUUUGCUGAAAACUCUUCAAGGAGUUUGGGGUUUGGGAGGGCACUCGUCCCCCUGCCUGGCCCUGCAAUAAACCUCUCUCUGCUCCAAACCACAGUGUUUCAGAGUUCCCAUUGUGGCACAGAGGAAACAAAUCCGACCAGGAACCAUGAGGUUGCAGGUUCGAUCCCUGGCCUCGCUCAGUGAGUUGAGGAUCCAUCAUUGCUGCAUCAGCUGUGGUGCAGGUGGCAGAUGCAGCUCAGAUCUGGUGUUGCUGUGGCUGUGGUGUAGGCCGGCAGCUGUAGCUCCGAUUAGACCCCUAGCCUGGGAACCUCCAUAUGC